AUUGAUUUGCCCCCCCCGUUGGAGCCUUGUGGCGUAAGCCUGGUAUCGCUUUUGAGUGAGCCGCUCGAUCAACACUAAACCAAAGUCAGGGCAAGU
rfam:Legionella waltersii strain ATCC 51914 Lwal_ctg060, whole genome shotgun sequence.